rnacentral:rRNA from 1 species
CCUACGGGAGGCAGCAGUGAGGAAUAUUGGUCAAUGGGCGUAAGCCUGAACCAGCCAAGUCGCGUGAGGGAUGAAGGUUCUAUGGAUCGUAAACCUCUUUUAUAAGGGAAUAAAGUGUGGGACGUGUCCUGUUUUGUAUGUACCUUAUGAAUAAGGAUCGGCUAACUCCGUGCCAGCAGCCGCGGUAAUACGGAGGAUGCGAGCGUUAUCCGGAUUUAUUGGGUUUAAAGGGUGCGUAGGCGGGAUGCCAAGUCAGCGGUAAAAAUGCGGUGCUCAACGCCGUCGAGCCGUUGAAACUGGCGUUCUUGAGUGGGCGAGAAGUAUUCGGAAUGCGUGGUGUAGCGGUGAAAUGCAUAGAUAUCACGCAGAACUCCGAUUGCGAAGGCAGCAUACCGGCGCCCUACUGACGCUGAGGCACGAAAGCGUGGGUAUCGAACAGGAUUAGAUACCCCAGUAGUC